rnacentral:misc_RNA from 1 species
UCUUCGUAGGUGAACCUGCGGAGGGAUCAUUACAGAGUUCAUGCCCUACCGGGUAGAUCUCCCACCCUAUGUUAUUAUUACUUUGUUGCUUUGGCGGGCCGUUAGGCUCCGGCCCGACUACCGGCCCCGGCUGGUAAGCGCCCGCCAGAGGACCCAAAACCCUGAGUAUUAGUGUCGUCUGAGUACUAUAUAAUAGUUAAAACUUUCAACAACGGAUCUCUUGGUUCUG